CUGGCUUUUAUGUUAAUAAUCAGACAUACCUUUUUGUAUGCGCAGUUGCUUUUUUGUUGAGCUUGUUGAAAAAGGGGUGAAUCUCCAAAAAAAGGGGAGGGGUAUCUUUGCCCCUGUUACCUAAGGGGAUUUUACCCCACCCUGCCCAAUUUUCACCUACCUCUGUUUACUUGCAGUCCUCUCCGUAUGUCACAACAUUUACAUGUCUUUCCUUUUGCUUCAAUUUGUAUGUGUUAGAUGAGGAAAAAAAAAACCUAAUAGAAGUGCAGUCCCCCUGCAACCACUAAAACCCCUCCGCUGGCCAGCCAAUGGCCAUUCACGGCAGAACAAACAAAAAUCAAAUGGGAGCUAUGCUUUUAGCUUUUAAUUCUAGCUCCAAAAGUUUCCAGCUGCUUCCAUAAUUAUUACCUUUUAAAGAGUAGGAAAAUGGCGAGUUAAUUCACAUGGUGGCUUUCUCUAUCUUUUUGUCUCUUUCUCCCUUACUCCCUGCCUCAUUCUCUCCUUCCUCCACUCUCCACCCCAAACCACAACAGAACAACUUCCUCUCAAUCAGUAUGACUUCCGAAAUGCAGUGGGAAUGUCUGAGUGCAGAAUCAACCAAUCAGAAAUUUGCAAAAAGGCAGCAGAAGGUGUCAUCUUCAUUGGACCUGACACACAUGCUACUCAAACCAUGGGAGACAAGAUCAGAGGCAAAUUAAUCGCCAAGAUGCCAAGAAGACAGCAAUACAGGAUGAAGUUUAUUUACAUCGCUGUCAACUGUUCCCUGCAUAGCAACAAAGCCAAUGAUUUCCACAUAAGAGCAGUAGGGAGACUCGGGUAGACAGCCCCUCCAGAGCCCGCUGAAGUGAAGCAUUAGUUGGUGAAACAGUAAGGAUGGUCCUGAUGAUACCCGUUUAGCAGUGGCUGACAUGAGUAGAGGUCUAUCAAGGAGGUCUGUUAAGCUAAUGGCGAGACAGAAACCCAUAUGGGAGGCCUUUUCCUAUGGAUACAGCUGCUGCGUUCCAGCUCUGUAGCUCUACGUUUGUGGGUUCAAUUAACUCAUACUGAUGCUUGCUUAAUUCAAUCUCCUGUUAGAAAUGUUUCAGUGUGCCAACAUAAUAACUGUAAUCACCUUGUCAUCAAGUCCCAUUGAACUCAAUCAUCCGCCUCUGAAAUGCAUUAUUCCCGUGUUUGACAGCCUACAGAGUCUUCAUGUUACUUUGUGUUCAUCUGAUCAUGAUUGAGAGAUUUAAAUGAACUUUUUUUUUAGACCUCUUUGCUGAGGUAGCACGUAUCCCAUGUUAUUUUACAAAUGGUCAGUUGUCAUAAUCUUAAUUUUACUGGCUCAAAGUUUCAAAUUAAGUUGCUCUCUGCUGGUAGGCUUUGCUUUCAGAUGCAUUAAAUUUAUAUGAAUCAACUGUAAAGACAUUUAUAAUGUUGAAAAAUAUUUCUUUAUCAAAUAAAUGCUGUUCUUUUGAACUUUCUAUUCAUCAAAAAUCUUGAAAAAAGGCAUCAUGGUUUCCACAAAAAUAUUAAACAGCACAACUGUUUUCAAAAAUUGAUAAUAAUAAGGAAUGUUUCUUGAGCAGCAUAUUAGAAUGGUUUCUGAAGGAUCAUGUGACACUGAAGACUGGAGUAAUAGCUAAUGGAAAUUCAGCUUUGCUAUCAUAGGAAUAGAUGACAUUUCAAAAUAUAUUAAAAUAGAAAGUUUGUUUGAUGUUUGUUUAUUUAAAAAACAUUAAAAAAAAAUAAUGGGACUCCAAAGUUUUGAACUUCACACAUAUUAAUCAAACUUCACUUGUUCUUGGCUUUGUGUGCUUUGCUUUUAAAAAAAAUGGAGGUGAUGCCUGAUGUGUAUUUAAUUCUUCAAAUAUUCAAUUACACGUUGUGUCAUGUAUAAUAACGGAGCAAGUUAACCUACUGACUGAUGGACACAAUGCUGGAUCUUCUCCUAAUCACUCUUUCGUUCUCUUUAACAGAACCAUGAUGGUACGAUGGCUCUGACAUUCUGUUCAUACCCCCAUCCAUUGAUUGUCUGCACCAUAAGCCCCAAGAGGGAGCUUAUUUGGGCCUGGCUGCAGCAUGCGGGUGUGUUAGGGAGCACAGGGUGGUCCCAUGGACCAGAGAGGGCAGCUAACUGGAGUAAACAGGACUCAGCAGGCUUAGUGUUUGUGUUUACUCUGCUGGAGAGGAGGCCAUUAGAGCAAACAGCCAGCGUUUCUUCACAUGUUGCUGAAAAUCACCCCAACCUUCAUUCACUCCUGUUUGGCACUACUAACACCCAGCCAGUGUGCCCAGAUGGCCCUGCUUUCCAGAUCUCUCACUGUUUCUGCCCUCUCUCCCCUCCCUCAAUGUGCCGUGGCGUCAUUAAAAGUGUCUGUGAGCGGGAGGUGUAAAAAAGGGUGCCGAGAGAGGAAGCAGAAAACAAUUUAGUGGCAUUUAAAAAUAAAGUCCUCCCCCUAUUUACAUGGCCUAUCUAAUCCAAUCUAGGCUGUGUCUGCAUUUUUAAUUUGCACAUUCAAGCAAGCUUCAGAGAGGAACCUAGGCUUAAUUAGUUUAGUUAUCUCCCCUCAUGAAUGGAUAAAGUUCCCACACUGCUGGUGUUUCAGAUGAAGCCUAAUUGGAUUUCGAGGCCAAAAACAAAAGGAGUAAUAAAAGAAAUGAGGGUUAGAUAACAGAGGAAGAUUGAAUUGAUAAAGUGAAAGGGGAAUGAACUGUAGUCACAGCUGAGGAGAGAGACAAGAUGCGGUCGAGAUCCUCGUUUGAGGUCAAAAUCAGUGUAUUAGGGCCAAUGACAUAUGAAGAAAAAUCUUUUUAAAGAAUGAAAAAAAAAUGAAUUGGAAACUCUUAGAAAUGUACUCUUUUCUUAUUAGUUUCAUGUGGUAUAACCAAGUACAAACACUGUGAAGAUGUGCAAAAUAUCUUCUCAAAUAUAUAUGAGUAAUCUUAAUCAUUAUUUCCAAACAAAGUUAGUAUAUAAUAUUAUGUUUAAUAAGUUCAAUAUGUUAUAUUUAACAUAUAAAGUAUUUUUGAAUUUAAAAUUCAUAAAUAUUUAAAUUUUUGGAUAAUCUCCCUGCAUGAUAUUGUACACUUGAUCUCACACUACCUUUCUAAUAUUUAAUCAUAAAUUACUUGUAUAAAUAUUUUAGUUUUUCUUAUUUUUCUGAAUUUUUGUCUUUUAAUUGGCCUUUAUCUUCAUUAUAUCAGGACAGUUGUAUGUGAUGUUUUCUAUGUUUUAUAUAUUACUGAAACAUUUUGCAUUUUAAAUGACACAAAAUUUACAACACCCCCUCAAGACCCCUCCAGGGGUUUCAGUGCAAUUUGCCAGAAAUGGCGCAUUUGAAUAUAAAAUCCAGGCCUCAAGAAAAGUAAGCCCACAUUCGGUUUUAAAUCUCAACCAGUCUUUGCCAGUAUACCGUAAUAAUACAGUUUCGUUCAGCUAGAGCAAAAGUGUCAGCAUGUUUAAAAAUCAUCAUUCUUAAAGAGACAACUGAGCCUGAGUAAAUCAAUUAUUGAACAUUACCCUUCAUUGUGAUAUCUGAUUCGAACAAGGUCAAGGGAAUUAUUAAUAACCUUCUGUUCUCUUUCACAGACACGUUUACAAAUUAGCACUUCUCACAGGCCUGGGACCUGCUUUAUGAAGCCGAGUUUUCGGAGCAGCCUGGAAGUGUGAAAGAGUUCCAGAGGGCAGAGCAUUUGGAGAAGUCUAGAUAAUGAGAGUCUUUUGUUAAUGCCAUUGAUCUCGAUUCAAUUAGUGAAAAGGGCCCAUGUUUGUGACUACUGUGUGCACAGCAUAUGUGUGUUUCUGUAUGUAAUUGACUUUGUAAGUCCUCAAAGAGUAAACUUGUAGCAGUUUCAAACAUUCAAUGUUAUUGUCAAGCACAAAUGAACAGCCAAGUAUGUGUGUCUUUUUUCUGUUUCUGAUUUUUUUUUUUUUUCUUUUUUUUCUUUAGCCAACUGAGCUGGUUUGGGGCUGAUCUUGUGUGAUGUAUAGAUUAAUUAAAUAAGCAUAUUGAUUCCUGUUCUGGCAACACAGAGUGUGGGGUUUUAAUUAGCCCACGCUUGAGUGUGUUAAAAUUCCUGUCUUAUCUGUGUGGAACCAAGUGGAACUAAAAACUGAAUGCAUGAGGGCUGCUCAUCAACUCAAAAUCUCCAAUAACCUUUUUUUCCCCCUUGUUUGUUUUAGUCCAACCCAAACCUCAAACUUUAUUGUAAGUGUAUGAUUUAUAUGCCAACAUUUUCAUUCCCAAUAUUAAUUUUUUUAUCUCCAAGGAAUACAAAAUAGUUAAGUAAAUAAUACAUAUAUAAAACAAACAAUUAUGUAUGUAUGUGUGUGUAUAUAUAUAUACAAAUAUACAAAGACUGUUUUGAGUGAUUAAUCACUCUGAUGUGGUCUUAAUUUUUAAGUUAUUUCUUUCAAAAAAUCUUAUUUGAAACUAAAAAAUAUACUAAAUAUUUUUCUGAUACAGGUUUUAAAAUAUCAAAGUUUUACUUAUAUUUCCUUGUAGUAUUUUUGGAUAUAUAAAUACAGUGAUCCAUAUGACCAUAAUACGGUGGCCAAGAAAUGCAAAACAGAUUACAAUUCUGAAAACAAAAUAACAAAUUACAAAUGCAAACCUAAAAAACAAAAUAACAAUUCAGAAAACACAACAACAAUUCAGAAAAUAUUAUAACAAGUCAGAAAACACAAUGA
ensembl:lncRNA